rnacentral:rRNA from 1 species
UACGGGGGGAGCAAGCGUUGUUCGGAUUUACUGGGCGUAAAGGGCGCGUAGGCGGUCGUGACAAGUCACUUGUGAAAUCUCCGGGCUUAACUCGGAACGGUCAAGUGAUACUGUCGGACUAGAGUACAGAAGGGGCAACUGGAAUUCUCGGUGUAGCGGUGAAAUGCGUAGACAUCGAGAGGAACACCUGCGGCGAAGGCGGGUUGCUGGGCUGAUACUGACGCUGAGGAGCGAAAGCGUGGGGAGCGAACAGG